rnacentral:rRNA from 1 species
GGAGAACGUGCCCUUAAGUGGAGGAUAAUCUCGGGAAAUUGAGGAUAAUACUCCAUAGAUCAUGGGAUCUGGAAUGACCCAUGGUUGAAAGUUCCGGCGCUUAAGGAUCGCUCUGCGGCUUAUCAGGUUGUAGUGGGUGUAACGUACCCCCUAGCCAGUGACGAGUAUGGGCCUUGAGAGAGGGAGCCCAGAGUUGGAUUCUGAGACACGAAUCCAGGCCCUACGGGGCGCAGCAGUCGCGAAAACUUCACACUGGGGGCAACCCCGAUGAGGGAAUUCCUAGUGCUAGGACAUUUGUUCUAGCUUUUCUCUAGCGUAGAUAACUAGAGGAAUAAGGGCUGGGUAAGACGGGUGCCAGCCGCCGCGGUAAUACCUGCAGCCCAAGUGGUGGUCGAUUUUAUUGAGUCUAAAGCGUUCGUAGCCGGUUUGAUAAAUCCUUGGGUAAAUCGGGAAGCUUAACUUUCCGACUUCCGAGGAGACUGUCAAACUUGGGACCGGGAGAGGCUAGAGGUACUUCUGGGGUAGGGGUAAAAUCCUGUAAUCCUUGGAGGACCACCGGUGGCGAAGGCGUCUUACUAGAACGAAUCCGACGGUGAGGGACGAAGCCCUAGGUCGCAAACGGGAUUAGAUACCCCGGUAGUCUAGGGUGUAAACGCUGCAGACUUGGUGUUGGAGGCCCUUCGGGGGCAUUCAGUGCCGGAGAGAAGUUGUUAAGUCUGCUACUUGGGGAGUACGUCCGCAAGGAUGAAACUUAA